GACGAACGCUGGCGGCGUGCUUAACACCUGCAAGUCGAACGGAAAGGCCCUGCUUUUGUGGGGUGCUCGAGUGGCGAACGGGUGAGUAACACGUGAGUAACCUGCCCUUGACUUUGGGAUAACUUCAGGAAACUGGGGCUAAUACCGGAUAGGAGCUCCUGCUGCAUGGUGGGGGUUGGAAAGUUUCGGCGGUUGGGGAUGGACUCGCGGCUUAUCAGCUUGUUGGUGGGGUAGUGGCUUACCAAGGCUUUGACGGGUAGCCGGCCUGAGAGGGUGACCGGCCACAUUGGGACUGAGAUACGGCCCAGACUCCUACGGGAGGCAGCAGUGGGGAAUAGUGCACGAUGGGCGGAAGCAUGAUGCAGCAACGCCGCGUGCGGGAUGACGGCCUUCGGGUUGUAAACCGCGUGCGCCUGUGACGAAGCGUGAGUGACGGUAAUGGGUAAAGAAGCACCGGCUAACUACGUG
rnacentral:rRNA from 1 species